AAUCGAGCCACGGCUGCAGGUCACUUAAGUCCGGCCCGGCUUGUUUUGCUCCCUCUGUUGAGAGAUGACCUUAAAACGCCUCCAAGCCCAUCAAUGUUGAGUGGCCUCCUUCCACUCUGGCCUUGAUAUCUCAGGAUGACCUGGAUUUCACUCACUUGGUCUCACUUUUUCCUCCCCCCUUCUCCGUCUGCGACAUUAGAGUGACCCCAUGACUAAAUCUCAAACUUCACAGUUCUCCCUGUAACAUCAAAACAACACAUUGCUUCUCUGAACUCUUCUUCGCAUGGAAGGGAGCCAGACUCCUUGUCAGGCAAUAUGUGGGGCGAUACAGUAUGUCUAUAUUAGCAAGUGUUUACGUGGAGGUUCAAAUAUUUAUAUGGCAAAAACAUAAGCAUGUAAUAAAUAAUCUAGACAAACAAUGUUCUAUAAUCCAAUGUUGUGUCAGCAGGGAGGAUACCAUCUGCUUGUUUGGAGAACGAUAAUCGUAUCAUAGAUUUCAUUACCUCAGAUAAAUGGUCAAGACUGGAGGCUCUUCUCAACUAUGGGAACAGAGUGCUUUCAGGGCAAGAGUAAGAAAAACAAAUGAGAUUUCCACGUAGCACUUGAGGGACAUAAGAACUUUUCAAACAUGGAAUCUGUAACAUCGCUGGCUUCAUGAGUUUGGUCAACUGACGGCACUCUGUCAUUAAAUGUCUGCCAAUAAAAACAUCCUGACUGCUGUGAUGGAGCUCAGGACUCAACCAGAGGUGCUCUGUAAUGAGUGAUUUAACUGUAACAUUAACAUGAUACUAUAAACUGUGACUGUGUGUGUGACAGCUCAUUAGUUUGAGGUGAGGAAAAGUACACUGUGUGACUUGCUACUCCUGACCUGUACUGAUCCUGUUUCCAUGUCGCAGAUAAUGCACAAUUUAAAUAAUGAAGUUCCUGCU